GCAGAUGUUGGUCUCGUUUACGACCGUAUACUCGGAGAAUGUAGAACAUCCCUGCCAAGUUUAAGAGUUUUCAUGGUAAUUAGAGGAAACUGGCUAAGUAAACUAAUUAAACCUUUUUUUCUUACCAUGUUGUGCUUAAUGACCUGUUCAUUACAGGUGAACCUCGUCGUUCCGUCGCUCAUAAAUCCGCCCAUCUGUUGAAUGUAACGAAAUUGAUAUAGCAAGCGGUAGAUGGCUUCAUCACAACAACAACGCAAUAAAUACCUGCAGCAUUUCAUUCUUGGUACAAAUGUUGGUGAAUUCCGACUUGCAAUUGUCGCAUUCGUAACAUUGAGGAGUAUACAACGGAAUGACGUGGUCGCCUUAAUGAUAUUAACAUUAUAAAUGUCACUAGUAAUAUUAUAGAGUUAAAAGAUUAAUACCUGGAGCAACAGUUGACACUCCUGAUCCUACACUUUCGACGAUUCCAGCUCCUUCGUGCCCCAAAACACAUGGAAAUACAAGUGGCCCUGCUCCGCCUCGCAUGAAGAACAAAUCGCUGUGACAAACUCCCGAUGCAAUAAUCUUCACACGAACUUCACCAGCCUUCGGGGGCUCCACUUUAAUCGUCUCCAUUUUGAACGGUUCGCCAACUCCCCAGACCACUGCAGCACGACAUUCUAUGACCUAGGAUUGGAGCUGCCCGACCUUGGAACUGAUAAGCCCGUCUUCUUUCUCGUCUCCUCUGCGUCGUUAGUGGCCGUAAGGUAUGCGCAGCAGUCGACUCCAUGUGUAAAGAUGUAAUAGUACCCAAGAAUGUCUCGCUGUUGUAACUCGAAAAAACCCCGAGGGUGAUUAUUUUCUUUUGAUUUUCUCGACGGUCGUUCACAGGCCAUGAAUUUUCUUUUCUCCAAGUAAUAAAAAUAAUAAUAAGUUACAAUCACAUUUUUGUUUUUUUUUUCAUCAGCUGUGUAUUCUUUUUCAUUAUUUAUUGAUCUUCAGCCUCAUGUAUCGUCGCCGGCGAACGACUUUUUGUUGUUAUAGACAACUACAGAGGGUUCAGAGCAAACGAUCUAAAUCAAUUCAAAAUGGAAACAAGUGAACAAAUAGAAAAAAACAAACAUUAGGAGAUAAAAGGAGGAAGAAAAGAGGAUCGAUGAGGGGGAAAAAAAACAAUUAACGUGAAAAACGAAAAAAAAAAAAAUAUUGAUAAUGGUCCUGAAAACAUUAUACGAUCAAAUGUCGUGUGACUGUCCACCAUUGGCAAUUCGGAGAAUGUUAUGAGGAGCGGGGGGUGAGUUGAGAUAGAAAGGAGUUCAAACAACGGUUAGCCACACUCCUUCAUUAAUAUUUCCCGGUUAACAGGAAAUAUUUGCCUAUUUUAAAAAAUACUGACGAUUACAGUUUUUUGUUUAAAAAAAAGGGGUUUGGUAGAGGAAAUGAUCAAAUGAGGUGAUAAAGAUAAUUGAAAUAGUUUUGAGCAUUAUUUACACAGAAGGGGGGGGGGGGA